UAACACGUGGGUAACCUGCCCUGAUGAUCGGGACAACCCGAGGAAACUCGGGCUAAUACCGAAUGUGCCCUCCGGCCAUAAGGCCACUGGGGAAAGGAAGCUUCGGCCUCCGCAUUGGGAUGGGCCCGCGGCCCAUUAGCUUGUUGGUGAGGUAACGGCUCACCAAGGCAAUGAUGGGUAGCUGGUCUGAGAGGACGAUCAGCCACGCUGGGACUGAGACACGGCCCAG
rnacentral:rRNA from 1 species